rnacentral:pre_miRNA from 1 species
GUAGGAGUCCAUCCGUUCCGAAUUACUUGUCACACGUAUGGAUGUAUCUAGACGUAUUUUAGUUCUAGAUACAUCUAUUUCAGAGACGAGUAAUUCGGAACGGAGGGAGUACUUC